ACAUUAUGGCCCGCGUUUUCUUCAUUGGGACGUGAGUGCUGAAAUGUUUAUACUACAAAUUUUUAAGAAUGCGUAGAUCUAUCCUUUGCUGGAAUGGAUUUACGAACAACAUUCUUAAUCAUUUACUUUGAAAAAAUUAGAGUGUUUAAAGCAGGCUUCUUAUGCCAUUGAAUACAUUAGCAUGGAAUAAUAAAAUAGGACUUAUGUUCAUAUUUUAUUGGUUUAAUGAACUUAAGUAAUGAUUGAUAGGGAUAGUUGGGGGUGCUAGUAUUAAGUGGCCAGAGGUGAAAUUCUUGGAUUCACUUAAGACUAACUACUGCGAAAGCAUU
rnacentral:rRNA from 1 species